CCUACGGGAGGCAGCAGUGAGGAAUAUUGGUCAAUGGGCGAGAGCCUGAACCAGCCAAGUCGCGUGAAGGAUGACGGCCCUACGGGUUGUAAACUUCUUUUGUCAGGGAGCAAUUGAGUCCACGUGUGGUCUUAGCGAGAGUACCUGAAGAGAAAGCAUCGGCUAACUCCGUGCCAGCAGCCGCGGUAAUACGGAGGAUGCGAGCGUUAUCCGGAUUUAUUGGGUUAAAAGGGUGCGUAGGCGGAAUAUCAAGUCAGCGGGAAAAAUUCGGGGCUAAACCCCGUCGUGCAGUUGAAACUGAUGUUCUUGAGUGGGCGAGAAGUAUGCGGAAUUCGUGGUGUAGCGGUGAAAUGCAUAGAUAUCACGAAGAACUCCGAUUGCGAAGGCAGCAUACCGGCGCCCAACUGACGCUGAAGCGCGAAAGCGUGGGUAUCGAACAGGAUUAGAUACCCUAGUAGUC
rnacentral:rRNA from 1 species